UCCAUUUCCAAAUCCUCGUAAACUAAACAUGUAUCCUGACAUUUCAGAAGCAAAUAAUAAUUAACCUGGAAGCUUGGAAGCAAAGAGAGAGAUCUUGUGUGCAACGAUGAUGCCCCAGAGAAAAAAAAAAUAAAGCUAGUCAUACACAUUAUAGAGCUAUCCCUAAAGGGUUAACUAUUUAAUGCGUACUAAGCGUUGUAUGGACAGGUAAAAAUCUAUAUGUAGCUACCAUCAUCAUGGCACAACCUAAGCACAUAUAAUUACCUCUAGUUGGUUUCAUUUAAUUAAUUGAAAGUCAACAUACCCUUGUUCAUUUGCAUAUGAUAUAUAUACAUGAUGGACACUUGCUCAAAUAGGAACCCAAUCCAUGAUGAACAUUGACGUUGACACUGAAACAACUCUUGGGAAUAUUUCCAGUAUCCGAGUGGAUCAAGGAAGCCAGUGUGAAUGUGUAACCAAGAUAUUUAAUGCUUCCAUCCCUUUGAGUAACCAUCUUCCAUAUAUGGCUCAAGAAAUCCAAUGAACUUAGCUCCAUCCUUAGACCACCGCGCUCCAUAACCAUCAGCCACCCUUACCUCAAAGACAGCCCCAUGUGGAGGAACAAUAUGCACAUUCGACCAGCAACAAGAAGCAAUUAAGAAAUUUAUGACAUUCAUUGCAAGGCUAUUUUUAGUAGAAUCACUUCCACUAAUAAUACCCCAAUAUUUAUUGCUACUCCUUUCAGUGUGCUUUGCCAAAGCCCUUGCUCCAUGUGUCAAGGCACUACCAUUGACCUCAAGCCAUGAAAUCAGAAAAUUCAAAUUUAUAGAACACAUAAUUUUUAAAACACCAAGCUUGUGAAAAUUCUAAGAAUAUACAUCUAAACUUGCUGCAACAUGUAUACAAAUUUGAAGGACUAUUGCUUUUCUUGUGAUUUAACAUAAUGUAUGAAAUGAAUAUAUACACCAAAAAUAGUAUAAAAUAUCCAGUUCUGCACUGCCACCAUUCUGCAGGUCCUAAUGAGAAUGUAGCCCAUUGCCAACAAAUUGUUCUGUUUAUAGAAUACAAUAGUCUUAUGUAUAUCUAGAGAUAAAUUAGAAGAAAGAUAAACAUCUUAAUGUAUUUGUAGCAAACAAAGCAGAGCAUCACUUUUCUGCCAUCCCUAAAGUAAACCACUCCUCUGUGAUCAACAUAUGAGCUCUCCUUUAACAUUUUUAUUGAAGCAAAUGCUUGUAUGUAACAAGUUAAAGUGAUCAAUUUUUAAAAAUGAAACAUUUUUCAAAUGCUAGGACCAUAAAGAAAUUAAAAAAAGAAUGAAGCAAAAAUCUCUCCUCAACACAGCAAAAAAACCAAAAAUAAUUCAUUGCCAAUUGUAAUCUUACAUUUGGUCUAUAUGGUAGAGUGAAGGAUGAGAGAAGAGUUGAUCUUGGUGGAGGAAGGGCAUCAGAAACUGCUCCAACAGUAUGUGCAAGGCCCAGAAGACUUUGGAUACCACCAUAACUCAAUCCCUGGAAAACAUCAAAGCAGCACAGAUUGUUUAGCAAAUAUUGCCUUUUUAAGAGAAUUUAUGUAGUAGUUGGGAUUACCAUAGAAUGCUACAUGAUCAAAAUGACCAUUGUAUUCCUUGUAUUAUUACACAAGUGUUAUGGUUCUGCAGCAUAUCAUUCAGCAUUAAGCACAAUCCAAGCAUUACAAUUUUCUGACACGCGUACCUUCUUAUAUUAGCACUGACUCAAUUUAAUAGCAUGGCAUAUUUGCAUCUAAACAAUCAAAGAGUCCUAUUCAUAAAGAUUAACUUAAUUUCAUGAAAAUAAGCAACUCACUAACAGUAUGCUAGCCAGAUGUAGGUAUGGCUGAGGAGAAGAUUUUGAUACACAGAUUGCAAGGACACCAUUGGACAUUUCCUUUUCUUCUGUAUAAAACUUCCUAUAGAUUUUUACACCUUCUUGAACAGUUUUAACCCCAGGAAGGACUUGUGAAAGAUCCUCUGUCUCCAACAUCUCUGAAAAUGAAGCAUAUCGGCGAACAUCCUUAACCUCAAGCACUGCAGUUCUGUUUAAAAGAACCAAAGCUCCUGGCUCAAUUCUACUGUAAUUAGAACCAGCACAUCUUCCUUCAAUUGUUUUCCGGCCAUCUGCAUACAAUCCAAAUACUCGGGGAUAAGAUAACCAAUCUAUUAGUAAACAAAAUAUUAAAGUAAAAUUUUAGUUACUUGACCAUCGAUAAAAAGCUAGAAAGACCUAUUAGAAAACAAGUAAUACCUUUUAGGAGUGAGAAGAAGGGCUCCUGAACAUGAAGUUCAAAAAAUGUAGACUUGAACAUCUGAUAAAUGCAGUAGUUUAUAUAUGGUAGUAACAGACUGAAUCACUAAUAACACAUUAAAAAAAUAGAAAAGGAAAUAAAUCACUCCAUAAAUUUUGCCCUUUUCUCCACUUACAUUUUUUAGAUCAGAUCCCUUUUCCAUAAUUAACUUAUUCCAUUCAUCUUCUUUCUGCUUCAAGGAAAUAUCUUCAUUGAUGAAUUCUAUCUCACCAUAUGUCUUACAAAAUGACCCAGAAAUUAUACAUUGGUAUAAAGCUGAAGCUAGGCGCGUGAAUAAGGGAUAUUGGGGAACUCCUUCAAAACAACCUGUAGCAUUUGAGUAUGAAGCAGUGAAUCUUCCUUGAAAUAAAGAAACAUACAUUUUACUUGCAAUAUGGCAGAACACUCCUUCAGAAAUGCAUAUGCUUUGUAGAGUCUCUUUCUAUCUCUCCCCCCAGUGAUCCUGGCAAACUGCACCUCGCCUUUGCACCAUCCACUUAAGCAGCCCAUAGGCCAUGCGUUUGUCUGCAAUACCAAUGUCAGGCAGUGAAACAGAGUCGUUUGGGUCGUCUCUAAGGAGAUUGGAGCAGAAGUCCUUAGAAAGGCCCAAAUCGCAUUCUAGGGUUUCGUUAAUGUGAGAAUUAAGCGUGAACUUCACCAGCUCUUCUAUGCACUCUCUCAGUUGCUCCAUUUUCUCCGUCUCUCCCCCCCUUCUUUUGUUUCCGUCAACUGUAGUUUCAAG
rnacentral:misc_RNA from 1 species